rnacentral:tRNA from 1 species
GCGCCCAUAGUUCAACGGAUAGAACGACCGCCUUCUAAGCGGUAGGUCGCAGGUUCGAUUCCUGCUGGGCGCG